UCCUCCUCUUUCUUGCCAACACUUGUUGUUUCUUGUGUUUUUGAUUUUAGCCAUUCUGAAAGUGUGAAGUGAUAAUGUAUUAGGGUUUUCGUUUGUAUUUCCUUGAUAAUUACUGAUGUUGGACAUGUUUUUCAUGUGUCUGUUGGCCAUCUGUAUAUCUUCUUUAGAAAAAUGUGUAUUCAGGUCCUUUGCCCAUUUUUAAUUGAAUUAUUUGGGGCAGGGGGGUUAGUGUUGAAUUGUGUAAGUUCUUUAUAUAUUUUGGAUGUUAAUUCUUUAUCAGAUAUGUCAUUUGCAAAUAUUUUCUCCCAUUCAGUAUGUUAUCUUUUCAUUUUGUUGAUGGUUUCCUUCGCUGAACUUGCGCAUGAAUAUUUACUCACAAUAGCCCCAAACUGGAAACAACCUAAAUGCCCAUUAACAGAUGAAUGAAUAAACAAAAUGUAGUGUAUCCAUACAAUAUACUACUAUUUCGCAAUAAAAAGGAACAAACUACUGAUACAUGCAACAUGAAUGAAUCUCAUUCUGCUGAAUGAAAGAAGCCAGACACAAGGAUACAGGCUGUAUGAGUCCAUUUAUGUAAAAUUCUAGAGAAUGCAAACUAUUAUAGUGACAAAAAGCAUUUCACUUGCUGCCUGUGGCCUGCAGAAGACAAGGGCUCUUUUGGUGGUGAACGAAAUGUUCUGUGCUGUGACUAGGAUGGUAGUUUCAUGGGUAUCCACAACUGCCAACAUUCAUCAAAUUGCACACUUUAAACGGACAGAACUUAUAUGUAAACCAUUUCUGGAGGGCACUGAGGAAAAAUUUUUGUAAGCUCUUGACUGUUCAAUCUGAGGCUUGAAGAAAAUACUGGGCAACGGAGAAGUUUUGCGGGGCUAUGACAUCACAAAAGGGUUAAUAAUCUUAAACAUUCCGGAAAGCCCUUUAAUUUCUGGGCAGCGCAUAUGAAUUUGUCGUGCAAAAAUUUUACCUUCUGGUUUCCGGUAAGCCUCAGACAAAGGACUGCCUUGAGGACUUAGCAGGGCCCUGGGCUGGAUGAGCCAGCCUGCUCUUUCUCCAGCCUCGUGCAGAUUCCUGAGAGCCAGCUGGCUCAGCAAACAAAGGCCAGGUCUCCUGUCUUUUUAGCAUGUCAGGCUUCUUAAUACCGAUUUUCCUUCCCUCUGCCUGAGGUGGUAUGUGUCCACCUGGGGAGAUUCCGUUCCACUUUUUUGAAACUAGAAAGCUGUAGGCCACAUUCUUCCUUUAUAGGCCACCUGGAGCGACCUAUUUUAGUUGGCUCCACUUACAGAAUCACAGGAUGUGAGAAAUCACAGGAUGUUAGAACUUGAGAGAUCGUCCUGGCCAACAUCCCAAAGGAGGAAACGGAAGUCCAGAGAAGGUUAGUGACUGGCAUAGGCUCACACAGCCAGGGCAGGACUAUCAAUUACUGUCUUCCCAGGUCUCUCUGCUUCCUUAUGUUGGCUCUGACCUGCUGAGAAACUGCAGCCCAAGAUCCCUGGCUGUCAAAAACUAGGUCCAAAACCCAAGAUCGACUUCAGUGUGCGGUACUUUCUUUAAGAAUGAAAGUUGCAAAAUGGUUGGAUUCUAGCUGGAAGAAAGGCAGCAGAGAGUUCUGACCUCCUAUGGGGAAACAUAAGGAUCAGACCUCAGCUUGGGAAUGAAUGAGAGGCAUUUAUGAUUAUCGUAGAACUUGGCAGCAAUUACAAAAGCCUGUUCCAUGGUGGAAGCGACCGUGUUAAAUUUCCGUUCUCAUUUGCAUUUAUAAAAGUAAAAUAAAAGUAUUUCUGGGAUAGGAACAAUCUUUGUGAUUGGGAAAUGCCUCUUGGUCAUUAUUGCUCUUUUCACUCUUCAUAUAUUUUUCCUUGAUGGCUAUUGAAAUAGCAGAUAUUUUAAACAGAGUGAACAUUCAUCAUGGCGGAUUCUUGAAGUUGAAUCUGAUUCUUCCAGUGAAGUAGCCACUGCCAGAAAGUAAAUGAGACCUUUCUGGAAGCUCCACUAACAGUCCCACACGGCUCUAGUUUUAAACUAGAGUUUGGCAGGCCCAGGUCUCGGUGUCCUCAACCCUCUCCUCUCGCAUCUGGCCCAUCGGUGCCUGGGCAGGAGCUGGGGUGCAGGCGGCUGAGGGUUCCUUGGGGAUCAUGCCGCUCUUUCCCAGCGGUAUCCCAGCAGCACCCUCAGUGCUGGUGUUGGCUUGGGUGGGGGGGGGUUGCGCAGAGAUGACAGCCGUGUAGUUACCAGUGGUCUUGGACACUUGCAUUGCGUGCUGUACUGGUGACAUGUUUUGUUCUUCAUGCAGAUUCCCCAGAAUAGAAGUUGCAGAAUUUGGCAGAAUGAUUAGGGUGGACACUUCAGGAAGAAGACUUCGGGUUGUUAGAAGCUCCCCCACCCCCUAAGCUGAAGAAGAAGCAUCCGCACGCCCUGCUUCCACCUGGGGACUCCCAGAUUGCCACACAAUAGCACCUCCUAGAGGUGUCGGCAGUGGUGAGACCCGCCCUUCCCAGAGAGACUGUUUUCUGUGCCACUUUGUCUUGCCCUGGUGGUCACGCUGUGUUGUGGCUGCAGCGAAAACCUUUUGUGUGUCAGACAUGAUGGGCAGCGUGGACAAGUCACACUGGUGCCCAACACCUCCCACCACUGAGCACUGUGAGGGCAGAGACUUGGUCUUCUUUGCAACCAAUCUCUACCCCCUCACGUUGAGGAUACCUGUGUACCCACAAGGACAUACCAUCAGCGUGUAGUAAAUGUUGCUGAAUGACUGACAAAGUGACAUGUUGAGCAAGCAGAUGAUGAAAGUUUCUGACCUUAAAUGUGGACUAAUCAGAUAAGUGUACUAGUGAUACAAGAAAUCACGGAAGACGCUGUGGGAGAAGAACUGAAACUUCUUCUAGAAAAUCCAUUAAUGACCAGAAUAGAUCUCUGGCUUUUUUCAUGUGCCUUAGAUAACAACCAUGGAGAAUUGAGAUUCCUCCAUUGUGGCUUCUGCCUUGCCUGCUCCACCAAAAUCGCUCUCUCCAAGCUAACCAGGAACCUCCAGCUUGCCACACCGGGGGCAUUUCUGCCUCUUCUUACUGGCACACUCCUCACAGGACCAGCUAAGCAUCCUUCUCUUGUACAUGAAAGAAAAUCCAACUGAUUGUAGCGAGAAGAGAUUGUAUUCCCACAGAACAUCAGAAAAUAGAAAUUCUGCAUUUUUCAGUGACACCCAAUUUGCUCUACAAAAAGUAAAGCAUGAAGGUAAGG